rnacentral:ncRNA from 1 species
UAAAAUGCAGUGAAGAGAUGAGUAUGCUCGGUGACGCCGCUUAAGAGAACCCGGUUGGUGCGAAAGGGUGCGGUUUAGCCAGCAGAAUAUGGUCUUGGAUGCGUGUGAUAUUAAGCGAAUGCGAGAUAUCAAUGGGGACGCCCAUUACAGCGUAAGGGUAUGAACUUUUGGGAGUACCCUUUGAAAAAUCCAUUGUGAAGUGGAUUUAAAUCCAGGUGGUACCGCGAGAAGUCUCUUUCAUCGUCCUGAUA